GGUUCUGUAGCUUAAUUGGUAAAGUCUUAUCUUGUCACGAUAAUGGAUAUCCGUUCGAAUCGGAUUAGAAUCG
rfam:Pichia angusta strain DL-1 mitochondrion, complete genome.